AUGAACGCUGGCGGCGUGCCUAAUACAUGCAAGUCGAGCGAACAGACGAGGAGCUUGCUCCUCUGACGUUAGCGGCGGACGGGUGAGUAACACGUGGAUAACCUACCUAUAAGACUGGGAUAACUUCGGGAAACCGGAGCUAAUACCGGAUAAUAUAUUGAACCGCAUGGUUCAAUAGUGAAAGACGGUUUUGCUGUCACUUAUAGAUGGAUCCGCGCCGCAUUAGCUAGUUGGUAAGGUAACGGCUUACCAAGGCGACGAUGCGUAGCCGACCUGAGAGGGUGAUCGGCCACACUGGAACUGAGACACGGUCCAGACUCCUACGGGAGGCAGCAGUAGGGAAUCUACCGCAAUGGGCGAAAGCCUGACGGAGCAACGCCGCGUGAGUGAUGAAGGUCUUCGGAUCGUAAAACUCUGUUAUUAGGGAAGAACAAAUGUGUAAGUAACUAUGCACGUCUUGACGGUACCUAAUCAGAAAGCCACGGCUAACUACGUG
rnacentral:rRNA from 1 species